rnacentral:misc_RNA from 1 species
CAAGAGCGCCGAAAGGCUGCUUAAAACCAUCGUGAACCUAUCCAUCAGCGUUGCUUCGGCGGGAGCGCUCGCGGGGCCGGAGUCUCUCCGGGCCCCGGGCCGUGGAACCACACCUCCGGGUGCGGGGCCGCCCGCCGGAGGUACGAAACUCUCCUGCAUCUUAGUGGCGUCUCUGAGUAAACAAGCAAAUAAUCA